rnacentral:lncRNA from 1 species
AGUUGGAAUAAACCGAGAAUGAAAGACAAAAUCACACAGGGCACAGGAAAUCAGAAAAUGGUACAACCUAGGACAAGAACAGUGAAGGGAAAGAGGGAAAAUCUACUUACCCGCUGGAACGCAAAACCAAUCGGAUGGUUUCGUAGCUCUUGACUCCAGGAACAAGGAAACACCACCAAAUUAGGAUUCAAUAGGUGGAAAUGGCUGGAAACCUAGAGAGAAGUCAGAGCACUUGAGUUAGGGCAAGGUUCUAAUGAGAGAAAAGGAAGAGCUGAAAUGUUUUCCUGAUUUUUGGCUAAGUCCCUCAAGAC